UCCCAUUCCCCCCACCCCCACCCCACCACUCCCCACUAUGAUUUAGCGGCUGGCAUCCGGCGAUGCGGGGGUGGCGCGACUGCCGUAGCUAGGCUGCGGGGAGGGCGGUUGCCAGCGAGCACCAGGCUGCGACCCAACAGGAUGGCGACGACUGCCGGCCGGCGAUGUGGGGGAUGGCGCGAGUGCGGUGUCUAGGCAUCGGGGAGGGCGGCAGCCGGCAGGCACCUGACUGCGGCCCAGCAGGAUGGCGGCGGCCGACAGAGGCCGCCCGUGAGCACGCGUCGUCGGGAAGCUCCACGGCAGCUCGUCCGCAUCUGGUUGUUCUGCAUCUCGGGCCGGUUCCGACGAGCAUGGAGCCACCACUGGCCCCUGCACCUCCAUGUCUCCAGCCACCCGCCGGUCGCCCUCCUCCUCAGCUCUGCUGCCGCCAGCGCUUGCGUCGUCGGAGCGAAGAGUGGGGGGUCCUUGGCUCGCCGGCGCCGCCCAACCACCACGGGCGCGAAGAUGGUGUACUGCUGCUCGAGAUAUGGACCCGUGGAGAGAAACGCGCUUCACCGGCCAUAUCCGAGGCUUCUCCUCUAAGUGCUACAUUGACGGUUUGCCUCCGGUACUGAAUCUUCAGCGGCAAGGAGUUUGAGUUCGUGGGGCUCGCGCUCAGCUCCGAUAUUAGGGAAAGGUACCAAUCGCUAUGGUUCAAAACAAAUGGUUGUGCCUGUUACCUAAUCAGAUCAGGCUCUGACUGAAGCUACUCCAGUAUGCCCCAUGUUGUGUUUACUCAACAUCACAACAAGUAUUUUGUCUAUGCAUCAUGACAUUUUCUGUUUUUUAUACACAAAUUUGCCAUGUUUUUUUUAA